AGAACUAGAAAAACAAGGGAGAAAUAGAUAGCAAUAAAAUAAUCAUGGUGGUUUUCAAUAUCUCACGUUCAUCAAUGGACAGAUAAAUCAGAAAAUUUGUAGGUAAAUAAUGAUAUUGAAAAGUACUUAAGAGAAGAAUGGACCCAGCGGACAUACAGAUCUUUACAUCUAGCAGCAGUAGAAUACACAUUCUUCUUUUCCUGCACGUGGAACAUUCCCUGGGAUAGAAUAUAUCAGGCCACAAAACUAAUCUUAACAUAGCUUAGAAGUUCUAAAUCAUAUCAAGUAUCAUUUUUGUCACAGUGAAACUAGAAAUCAAUAAUAGAAGAAAUUUUUAGAAAUUCACAAAUAUAUAAAUUAAACAUUUUUGAAUAACCAAUUGAUCAAAAAAGAAGUCAAAAUAAAAUUUAAAACUGUCUUGAGACAAAUGACAAUAGAAACACAACAUACACAACAUAUGAUGCAGCAAAAGCAGUUCAAAGAGAAAAUUUAUAGCAGUAAAUACCUACAUUAGAAAAGAAGACAGAUGCUGGGUGUGGUGGUGCACUCCUGUAAUCCCAGCAGCCUGGGAGGCUGAGUUCAAAGCCUCAGUAAUGACAAGGCCCUAAGCAACCCAGUGAGAUCUUGUCUCUAAAUACAAAGUAGGGCUGGGAAUGUGGCUUAGUGUUCGAGUGCCCCUGAAUUCAAUUCCCAGUACAGAAGGAGAAGGAGAAGGGGAAGAAGAAAGACUACCAAUAAGAGAAUAGUAAUAAAUCAGAGAACAAAAAAGCCACAGGGGGAAAGAAAAUCAAUGACAUUAAGAGUUGCUUUGAAAAAUACAAACAGAUCAACAAAACUACCUAGAUAAAGAAAAAAUUAGAAUAUUCAAACAUAAAAUAGGGAAUCAAAAUGGAGGCAUUACAAAGAAGCUCCAGAAACAAAAAGGAUUGUACAGGACUAUUAUGAACAAUUGUUUGCCAACUAACUUGCUAAUCCAGUGGGUUGUGUGUAUAUUUUUAGAAAAUUUAUUGAAUCAGGAAGAAAUAACCUGAAUAGGCCAAUAAUGAACAAAGAGAUUCAAGAAUGUUUUAGUCAGCUUUCUUCACACUGUAUACAAAAGAUCUGACAAGAACAAUUUUAAAGGGGGAAAAGUUUUAUUUGGUGCUCACAGUUUCAGAGGUCUCAGUCCACAGAUAGCUGACUCCAUUCCUCAGGGUUAGAGGUGAGGCAGGACAUCAUAGUGGAAGAGUGUGGUGGAGGAAACUGGCUCAGAACAUCACACCAAAGGAGGGAGAGGGAGAGGAAGAAGGGUGGGGAGAAGUAUGAGCUCAUGCUCUCUCCUUUCCACAGACAAAAUAUAAAUUCCAAAGGCAUGCCCCGAUGACCCACCUCCUCCAUCCACACCCUACCUGCCUACAGUUACCACCCAGUUAAUCCCUAUCAGGACAUUAAUGCAUUGAUUAGGUUAAGGCAAUCAUACCCUGAUUGAUUUACUUCUAAACUUUCUUAUGUUGUCUUAAACAUGAACUUUUGGGAGACAUCUAGUAUCUAACCAUAUUAAAGAGGUACUGAAAAACCUCCCAACAAAGAAUAUAGUUCAGGACCAAAUGCUUCAAUCCUGAAUUCUACCAAGUUUUCAAAGAAGAAUUAAAAUACCUCUUACACUCUUAAAAAAA
rnacentral:lncRNA from 1 species